AGACUAAUGACCGAAGCUUCAAGACUUUGACAUGUGUGAAAACAUGAAAUGGUAAGUCAAUACAAAGACAGCAUCUUCCUGGAAUUUGGUUUUGAGCUUGUUUUCAUUUCACCUUUCUCAGUAAUCUGGGUGUAGCUUAUUUUGACUCUUCCUUUGAUUAAACAAUUCAGACCCUUGGCUCUUAUUGUUCUUGCUGGUGUGGUAUGUUCACGGCUGAAAAGGUGGUCAGAAGGAGAAAGGAGGAAGUGAGAAGAAAGAAACAGGGAAAUGACAGAGUGUUGCUCAGUUACCCAGGCUGGAGUGCAAUGGCAUGAUCUUGGCUCACUGCAGCCUCCACCUCCUGGGUUCAAGCGGUUCUCGUGCCUCAGUCUCCCAAGUAGCUGGGAUUACAGGCUGGAGUGCGAUGGCAUGAUCUUGGCUCACGGCAAACUCCGCCUCCCUGGUUCAAGUGAUUCUCCUGCCUCAGCCUCCCGAGUAGCUGGGAUUACAGGCAUGUGCCACCAUGCCCCGUUGGCCAGGCUGGUCUCGAACACCUUACCUCAGGUGAUCCUCCCACCUUUGGGAUUACAGCAGGCUGAGGAAUUACCAAGGAGGCAGGAGGUGGAGCAAAACACACCAAGCCUGAUGCCAAUCAUUGACAAUAUUAUGGUUAGUACUUACUGAGGGCUGACUAUGGUUGAAACUGCCUUUGCAAAAUUAUGACUGAGACAGUGAAUGAGAUCUAACUUAACCAACGCUAUCUUGCCUCUAACCUCCAAGCUGUCCUUGUUCAUUCC
rnacentral:lncRNA from 1 species